ACCUGAUCAUCGCAGUGGUCAGCGCGUUGGGGUGGCAGGCCGCCGAUUGCACUGUGUUAGACAUAGCAUCCAGGGCAGGAGACAGGAGGCUGAGGUACAUAAUUACCACACAAAGGUCCUCGGUUCGAUUCCGAGAUCGGGUA